rnacentral:misc_RNA from 1 species
GAUGAAGAACGUAGCGAAAUGCGAUAAGUAAUGUGAAUUGCAGAAUUCAGUGAAUCAUCGAAUCUUUGAACGCACAUUGCGCCCGCCAGUAUUCUGGCGGGCAUGCCUGUCCGAGCGUCAUUUCAACCCUCGAACCCCUCCGGGGGGUCGGCGUUGGGGAUCGGCCCUUUACGGGGCCGGCCCCGAAAUACAGUGGCGGUCUCGCCGCAGCCUCUCCUGCGCAGUAGUUUGCACACUCGCAUCGGGAGCGCGGCGCGUCCACAGCCGUUAAACACCCCAAACUUCUGAAAUGUUGACCUCGGAUCAGGUAGGAAUACCCGCUGAACUUAAGCAUAUCAAUAAGCAGAGGA